GUUCUUCUCUCCUCCAUUCUCAUCACCCAGCAAUCUCCACCAUCGCGUUGCCGUGACCGCCGCGGUCAUUUGCCACAUCAUCACCAUACUCGAUUUGGCUCUCACUGGACCAGCUUCUCAACUAUGCGCUAAUCUACAUCACCAAUCCAUCGCCGUUUUGGAGUAUGGAAGACGAUAUAGAAGAGUUCUCUUCUCCUGAAGAUACUAUCAAGCUAUUGUUCAGGUCGCUAUGCAAUCUGCAAUGCAAGAAGUUAUGAGUCUUUUGGUAGACAGGUCCAAUUUUGGGGAUACUUUUAGUCCCAAUCUCAUUUAGUUGCAGUUGACUGAUUGUUCAGAUUAUGUGCGUCGGUCAACACAAUAUCAAACAUCCUGUAGUAGUCCUAAAGUCCCGUUGCAUGGAAGUGGAGUUUUAACUUCUCAAUCAUCCUACCAUAGCAUUGGAAGAAAAAAGAAUCAUAUUUUAGAUGUUCCAGCUUCUGUGGUCUGUGCUUGGUCGUCAUUGGUAUAGUCCCUGGUGGAAGGAAGGUUUAUGUUGGUAAAAUUGGGCAGGAGUUGACAGGUCAAACAGCCCACAGACUAUGCUCAAAGGAAAGUUGAAGCAGCUUGUGAAGGCCAGAAGAAGGAAAGCCAAAAAAUAAAAAUAGAUGAAUUUCAUGCCAUGACGGGCAUUAGUUGUAAUUGG
rnacentral:lncRNA from 1 species